rnacentral:rRNA from 1 species
GACAGGGGGUGCAAACGUUGUUCGGAAUUACUGGGCGUAAAGCGUGCGCAGGCGGCUUUGCAAGACAGAGGUGAAAUCCCCGGGCUCAACCUGGGAACUGCCUUUGUGACUGCAAGGCUAGAGUACGGCAGAGGGGGAUGGAAUUCCGCGUGUAGCAGUGAAAUGCGUAGAUAUGCGGAGGAACACCGAUGGCGAAGGCAAUCCCCUGGGCCUGUACUGACGCUCAUGCACGAAAGCGUGGGGAGCAAACAGG